UACGUAGGGACCAAGCGUUGUUCGGAUUUACUGGGCGUAAAGGGCGCGUAGGCGGCGUGACAAGUCACUUGUGAAAUCUCCGGGCUUAACUCGGAACGGCCAAGUGAAACUGUCAUGCUAGAGUGCAGAAGGGGCAAUCGGAAUUCUUGGUGUAGCGGUGAAAUGCGUAGAUAUCAAGAGGAACACCUGCGGCGAAGGCGGGUUGCUGGGCCGACACUGACGCUGAGGCGCGAAAGCCAGGGGAGCGAACGGG
rnacentral:rRNA from 1 species